GUUAUAGUAGUUUAAAUAAAAACUUUGGUCUUGUAAACCAAAAUUAGAUAAUAUAUCUUUAUAACU
rnacentral:tRNA from 1 species